AGAGAUUUCAGCUACUCAUGGGAUUGCUUUGGGGAUCUCUUCAUCAAUCUCCAGUGCAGAUGUGCCAUUCCUUAGAAACAUGACAAGUUAUCUGCUCAAAGAGAGAAUCGAAUCUGUGUGAAUUCAUUAAGUCAAGCACAGAACUGUAUCUUUACAUCUUAUUAAGAUAUUUUCACUCUAUUCUGACGAGGAUUUGGAAUCAAAAAGGUUGAGUUCCAGCACCUGCUCAUCAGAUACACUCUCAAUUUUCAUAUUGUGAUAGAUAUUACACAUCUAUCAAAAAUCUGUCUUUCAGCACAUUAAGCUGAAAAUAUAUCCAAUUUUACUUUAAAAGAACAGAUGUUUAGGACUCAGGACUUUCCAAGCUUCAUCUGGCAUUAGCCCAACUGUAAAUUCUUCUUGUACAACUGUGAAAGCAUCAUGUUCCUAGAAGAAGUUAGAGGACAAUGGAAGUCUGUGGAAGCAAGCCUGGGAUGGAAAGCUGCAAAAAUCUGCAAGUCCAGAAUGAAGUUCAGAAACUUCAUUCACUAAUGAUGGAUGGAACAAUGAGUUUCCAAAGAAUAUCCCUUUGACUACUUACAGCUCACCCCAGGAGAGCUGUCACAGGGAGGAGGAAUUGAAAUCUGGAUAUCCUUUCUUUCAUUUUUUUUUCAUUUUCUGGAUAGGAUGAUGCCGUAUGUAUUCCUUCUGUCUGUUUUUUUAAAAAACUUUUCAAUGUGUUGUCUGAUUUCAAUCAUGUUUAAGGCAGGAAGAAAAUGUUCAGACGUAAAAAAGUUUCUCUGAGUUUUGUGAAAACUGGAUAGCCCCUGAGUUAAAAGGAUACCUGAGAUAGUACCUCCACAUUGGAACAGCAUAUAGUACAAGGCUAAGUACCAUAAAUUCUGUUCUUUCUGGCACACACCAGAGAGGCAAAAAUCUGGCUGAUGACUCAGAAACAGCUGCAGCAUAAAUUGCUUCUUGAGGAGAUAGGAGUCAAAAAGGUGCAGAGAGCUGGGGUACUCCCAGAGAGAUGGUGGACAUUGGAGAGGGUGAUGCAGAAGCACAAAUGAGAAGGCAAGCUGGAAUUAUUGGAAAAGUCAGAAAGUGUAAGACUAAAGGACAGAAAGUCCUAAGGAAGAUGGGGUGCUCUAAGUCUACUCUUUGCAAAAAAUCCUGGUAAAAUCAGGACAUUUUUGUGAAUAUACGUGGUCCUUAACCUUGUCCUUGUUCAUUGUCUGAUCUUCUGGGCUGCAUUCUGGUAUUUGCAGGUUAGAGAGACUAAACACCUUUGGCUAAGACUCAAAAGUGCUUAAAUCACUUAGGCAGUGAUAAUAUAAUUAUAAUUCACAUAAUUAAGGAUAGUUUAGAUAGUUCAAAUUACAGGGCAUUAGAAAAGAGCAAACUUUUUUUGCUACUGGCUGGCAGAAAAAACCAAUUUAUUAAAAUUCUGCAUACCUAAAGUUUGGCUUUCAAAAUCUUAUAUUAGCCAGAAGUUUUUGAAUCCUAUAGUCUUACCCUCUUCUCCAUUUGUAGUCUGGAUGGGUUUGUAUUACUAAAUAAGCUACACAAAUUGCCUGGUGUAUAGUCUGCUCUGAUGCUUAAUCAGAAGGUAAGCUCAGAUUCAUAUGUCAUCAAUCAAUUUUAAAAGGCAAUAGAGAAGAUAUCAGUUAGGGGGUUGUUUGGAAGUAUCAGACUUUGUAGGUCUGAUCUGUCUUUAUUGCUGAAUCCCACAUAAACAUCAUGCUUUGCCACCUUCCUCCCCUCUGACAUCUGAUAACAAGAUUUCAUAUACAAUGACUUAUGCGUGACCUGUUUUUAAGACUUGUAAAAGAUGUUAAUGGUGACCCCUUUUUUGUGGCCCAUUUUUGAAGGCAUUGGAUCUGCCUGUGCUGAAGGAUUACUUAUCUCCAUGCCUGUACUCAGGAAGGACACAAAGACUGAGGCCAGGCUGGUAUCUCUGCUUGCAAGAACGGACAGAAGGUUAUUGGAUUUCUUCUUCCUUCAGCUUGUUGCCACUCAGUAUAGCCAUAAAUAUUUACUAUCAGAGGCAAUUGUGUCGCAGUUAAUAAAUCUCCAUCUCUGCCAUUCUCAUUUAAUGAUUCAUAAAAUACUGUAAUUUCCUAUGAGUGCAUUAUGCUACAUUUUGCUGCUAAAAAAUUGAUUUCAAAAGAGAAAGAACUGGGAAAAGGAGGUAUCAACUAAAGCCUCAUUAGGGAAAUGAAGGCAUCUUGGACAUCCAGGCAGAAAGCUGCAUUUGUGUCCUAAUAACCAAAUGAGCCUUGUAACUUGCUGUUAAGUGAAAAAAGGAACUGCAAAAUUCCCUCCAGUGAGGGAUAGGUACUAGAGACAGCAUCUUUCCUGACAAUUUACUUUUUCUCAGUUCUUCCUGUCUCUGAGGAAGUAGCAUUUUUGCAUUACUACAGCUGUGCCAUAGUUCCCUUAAAAAUGAAAAGGUGGAUGUUUAACAUAUAGACACAAGAUUCUUAUAUCACCAUGCAAGACCUCCAGAUCAUGCAGAGUUACAUGCAUAUUUUAACACGUGUUUCACUAUUUAAUUUUAUGAUCCCAGUAUCUAACUAACUCAAUCUUAUCCCAGCACUGUCAGAGUCCACAAUUUUAAACAUUUCUGUUCAGAUCAGGACUAGGCUUGGUCUGAGCGGAGACUCUCACGUAUUCACAGGACACCAGAGACCAAGUUCUCAAACAAAAUUCCAUACAAUUACACAACAGUUAAACCACAACUUGGAACUCUUGCAAAACAUUUUUUGCUGUAUGGCUAUUUUGGCAUUCUCCUAUAGUCUUCAGACUUAUUUUCAUGCACAGAAGGGCAUCCACAAUCCCUGCCAUUUGGAAGUGUUUCCCCAGUAAAUGUAAAAUGGUUUUUGCCCUCUGUGAUACGUAGCCUUUCCUGAGAGCUUUCUAGGUGAGAUUGUAAGAGCCCUGAUAUUUUGCAAA